rnacentral:lncRNA from 1 species
AGCGCAGUCGUGGGGAGUUAGCAGAUGGGGAACAUCAAGGGACCCUGGACGGUCUUUUGAUGUAAGCAGAGAAGCAAUGGCUCCAAGAAGGAUGUCAGCUAGUAUGAGGGAAGUAGAGAUGGAUGUUCAGAGAAGAGAUUUCAGUUUGGGAAUCAGAGUGCCAGAAGAAGGUAUGGGAGAUUCCCAGGAAGAUGCUCAGACCCAGGAUUCCAGGAUCUCGGGUUCAGGAGGGAUUGAUCCCUCCACUCUGAGUACAGCUGCCACGAGAGGUAAGAAGUGGAAGAGAGGCCUCAGGAAGUCGCAGAAGAAGUUUUGGCAAAAUUUGAAGGCUAGUUUGGGUUUUGGUGGUUCGAGUUCUGGUCGAGACACUACAGGAUGUAUGAGGUGUGGAAGGCCGCACAAGGGAGUC